GGGUUGUGAGGUUAAGCGACUAAGCGUACACGGUGGAUGCCCUGGCAGUCAGAGGCGAUGAAGGACGUGCUAAUCUGCGAUAAGCGUCGGUAAGGUGAUAUGAACCGUUAUAACCGGCGAUUUCCGAAUGGGGAAACCCAGUGUGAUUCGUCACACUAUCAUUAACUGAAUCCAUAGGUUAAUGAGGCGAACCGGGGGAACUGAAACAUCUAAGUACCCGAGGAAAAGAAAUCAACCGAGAUUCCCCAGUAGCGGCGAGCGAACGGGGAGCAGCCCAGAGCCUGAAUCAGUGUGUGUGUUAGUGGAAGCGUCUGGAAAGGCGUGCGAUACAGGGUGACAGCCCCGUACACAAAAAUGCACAUAUUGUGAGCUCGAUGAGUAGGGCGGGACACGUGGUAUCCUGUCUGAAUAUGGGGGGACCAUCCUCCAAGGCUAAAUACUCCUGACUGACCGAUAGUGAACCAGUACCGUGAGGGAAAGGCGAAAAGAACCCGGCGAGGGGAGUGAAAAAGAACCUGAAACCGUGUACGUACAAGCAGUGGGAGCACGCUUAGGCGUGUGACUGCGUACCUUUUGUAUAAUGGGUCAGCGACUUAUAUUCUGUAGCAAGGUUAACCGAAUAGGGGAGCCGAAGGGAAACCGAGUCUUAACUGGGCGUUAAGUUGCAGGGUAUAGACCCGAAACCCGGUGAUCUAGCCAUGGGCAGGUUGAAGGUUGGGUAACACUAACUGGAGGACCGAACCGACUAAUGUUGAAAAAUUAGCGGAUGACUUGUGGCUGGGGGUGAAAGGCCAAUCAAACCGGGAGAUAGCUGGUUCUCCCCGAAAGCUAUUUAGGUAGCGCCUCGUGAAUUCAUCUCCGGGGGUAGAGCACUGUUUCGGCAAGGGGGUCAUCCCGACUUACCAACCCGAUGCAAACUGCGAAUACCGGAGAAUGUUAUCACGGGAGACACACGGCGGGUGCUAACGUCCGUCGUGAAGAGGGAAACAACCCAGACCGCCAGCUAAGGUCCCAAAGUCAUGGUUAAGUGGGAAACGAUGUGGGAAGGCCCAGACAGCCAGGAUGUUGGCUUAGAAGCAGCCAUCAUUUAAAGAAAGCGUAAUAGCUCACUGGUCGAGUCGGCCUGCGCGGAAGAUGUAACGGGGCUAAACCAUGCACCGAAGCUGCGGCAGCGGCGCUUAUGCGUUGUUGGGUAGGGGAGCGUUCUGUAAGCCUGCGAAGGUGUGCUGUGAGGCAUGCUGGAGGUAUCAGAAGUGCGAAUGCUGACAUAAGUAACGAUAAAGCGGGUGAAAAGCCCGCUCGCCGGAAGACCAAGGGUUCCUGUCCAACGUUAAUCGGGGCAGGGUGAGUCGACCCCUAAGGCGAGGCCGAAAGGCGUAGUCGAUGGGAAACAGGUUAAUAUUCCUGUACUUGGUGUUACUGCGAAGGGGGACGGAGAAGGCUAUGUUGGCCGGGCGACGGUUGUCCCGGUUUAAGCGUGUAGGCUGGUUUUCCAGGCAAAUCCGGAAAAUCAAGGCUGAGGCGUGAUGACGAGGCACUACGAUGCUGAAGCAACAAAUGCCCUGCUUCCAGGAAAAGCCUCUAAGCAUCAGGUAACAUCAAAUCGUACCCCAAACCGACACAGGUGGUCAGGUAGAGAAUACCAAGGCGCUUGAGAGAACUCGGGUGAAGGAACUAGGCAAAAUGGUGCCGUAACUUCGGGAGAAGGCACGCUGAUAUGUAGGUGAAGUCCCUUGCGGAUGGAGCUGAAAUCAGUCGAAGAUACCAGCUGGCUGCAACUGUUUAUUAAAAACACAGCACUGUGCAAACACGAAAGUGGACGUAUACGGUGUGACGCCUGCCCGGUGCCGGAAGGUUAAUUGAUGGGGUCAGCGCAAGCGAAGCUCUUGAUCGAAGCCCCGGUAAACGGCGGCCGUAACUAUAACGGUCCUAAGGUAGCGAAAUUCCUUGUCGGGUAAGUUCCGACCUGCACGAAUGGCGUAAUGAUGGCCAGGCUGUCUCCACCCGAGACUCAGUGAAAUUGAACUCGCUGUGAAGAUGCAGUGUACCCGCGGCAAGACGGAAAGACCCCGUGAACCUUUACUAUAGCUUGACACUGAACAUUGAGCCUUGAUGUGUAGGAUAGGUGGGAGGCUUUGAAGUGUGGACGCCAGUCUGCAUGGAGCCGACCUUGAAAUACCACCCUUUAAUGUUUGAUGUUCUAACGUUGACCCGUGAUCCGGGUUGCGGACAGUGUCUGGUGGGUAGUUUGACUGGGGCGGUCUCCUCCUAAAGAGUAACGGAGGAGCACGAAGGUUGGCUAAUCCUGGUCGGACAUCAGGAGGUUAGUGCAAUGGCAUAAGCCAGCUUGACUGCGAGCGUGACGGCGCGAGCAGGUGCGAAAGCAGGUCAUAGUGAUCCGGUGGUUCUGAAUGGAAGGGCCAUCGCUCAACGGAUAAAAGGUACUCCGGGGAUAACAGGCUGAUACCGCCCAAGAGUUCAUAUCGACGGCGGUGUUUGGCACCUCGAUGUCGGCUCAUCACAUCCUGGGGCUGAAGUAGGUCCCAAGGGUAUGGCUGUUCGCCAUUUAAAGUGGUACGCGAGCUGGGUUUAGAACGUCGUGAGACAGUUCGGUCCCUAUCUGCCGUGGGCGCUGGAGAACUGAGGGGGGCUGCUCCUAGUACGAGAGGACCGGAGUGGACGCAUCACUGGUGUUCGGGUUGUCAUGCCAAUGGCACUGCCCGGUAGCUAAAUGCGGAAGAGAUAAGUGCUGAAAGCAUCUAAGCACGAAACUUGCCCCGAGAUGAGUUCUCCCUGACUCCUUGAGAGUCCUGAAGGAACGUUGAAGACGACGACGUUGAUAGGCCGGGUGUGUAAGCGCAGCGAUGCGUUGAGCUAACCGGUACUAAUGAACCGUGAGGCUUAACCUUACAACGCCGAAGCUGUU
rnacentral:rRNA from 1 species